rnacentral:rRNA from 1 species
UACGUAGGGUGCAAGCGUUGUCCGGAAUUAUUGGGCGUAAAGAGCUCGUAGGCGGUUUGUCGCGUCUGCUGUGAAAACCCGAGGCUCAACCUCGGGCCUGCAGUGGGUACGGGCAGACUAGAGUGCGGUAGGGGAGAUUGGAAUUCCUGGUGUAGCGGUGGAAUGCGCAGAUAUCAGGAGGAACACCAACGGCGAAGGCAGCCCGCUGGGACGGUACUGACGCUAAGGCGCGAAAGCGUGGGGAGCGAACAGG